UCCGUAGGCGGUGCGGCAAGUCGGAAGUGAAAUCUCUGGGCUUAACCCAGAGGCUGCUUCCGAAACUGCCGUGCUAGAGUGCGAGAGAGGCGAGUGGAAUUGCGGGUGUAGCGGUGAAAUGCGUAGAUAUUCGCAGGAACAUCCGAGGCGAAAGCGGCUCGCUGGAUCGCAACUGACGCUGAGGGACGAAAGCUAGGGGAGCAAACAGGAUUAGAUACCCUGGUAGUCCUAGCCCUAAACCAUCAGGACUUGGGGUUUGCCCUGUACGGGGCAAGUCCCGUAGCUAACGCGUUAAGUCCUGCGCCUGGGGAGUACGGUCGCAAGGCUGAG
rnacentral:rRNA from 1 species